CCGCCUGCUGGGGACAAAUAAAGUGCACGUGGGCGUCCAUACCCCCCGCCGUCAAAAUCAUCCCUUCCGCCGCAAUCACAUCCGUGCCUACCCCAAUCACCAUGCCGGGCGUCACGUUCGCCAUCAUGUCGGGGUUUCCCGCUUUCCCGAUCCCGACGAUCCGAUGUCCCCGCAGACCCACAUCUGCCUUGUAGAUGCCCGUGUAGUCCACCACCAGCGCGUUCGUCAACACGGUUUCCAAGCACGUCUCCGUCUCCAACGUCGCCUGGCCCAUCCCUUCCCGG
rfam:Nannochloropsis gaditana strain B-31 chromosome 1, whole genome shotgun sequence.